rnacentral:lncRNA from 1 species
UUUGAAUAAGAGCAAAGUGGUGAGGCUUGUUCUACAGGCAGCAAACACAAUUAAAGACCCCCCCCAACACACACACAAUGAAAACAGACUUAUGGGGCAGAAAGUCCCAGAAGGCAGGACUCCCUGAUACAAAUGUGUGUGAGAUUGAUUAUUGAUUACAGGGGUAGGCCAGAUGCUUGGGGGAAUGACUAACCAAUACAUAUUGCCUAGGGACUGGUGAGAUGGUUCAGCAGGUAAAGGUGCUUGCAGCCAAGCUUAACAACCUGAAUUUGAUCCCAGGACUCAAACGGUGGAAGAGAGAACUGACUUCAGUAAGGCAUCCUCUUGCAGGAGUGCAACCUAACGUGUAAAUCAUGACAUAAAAGAGAUUUCAGUCAUUCACUGGCAGGAUUUGGAGUGGCCUUGGAAGAGAGUUCUUUGAGGGAUUGUCUAGACCAGAUUGACAUGUGGGCGUGCCUUCCAGUGGUGAACAAAUGAGAGGUAAAUCUGAUUUCUCAAAUGAAGAGGGAAAUGUAAAAACAGGAAGAACACUGAAGUCUGAGAGGACUACAGGGAAGAUAGCGUGCUCAAUCUCAGAGCUAACGAUGGGAAGGAAUUGUAGCACCCAAGUGGCCCUGACCAGGAUCAUAAGACUUUUGCAGAGAAAGAAAUUCUAGAGCAUUGCUUCAGUUGACACAGUCAGCAUCCCUGGUCACUAUCCCGGUAUCUCCAUAAAUCUUUUUAAAAAAUGAUCAUAGUUGUGUGAACAUGUGUAU